AUGGCCUUCUGCCUGGUGAGGCCUUCUCUGGCCUGCCCUGCAGACCCUCAGCCCCUCCUAGGCCCUGUCUUCAGCCUCAGCCUGAGUGGUGGCCUGGGGCAGUUGGGAGCUCAGCUGUUCUCAUUCCUGGUUCUUUGGCCAUGGUGGAAACAAUGGGGCUGGAUCUGGCUGCUCAGCAGCGACUCUUCCUUCUUCGGUGAGAACCACCUGGAGGUGUCCGUGGCCACGGCUCUGACCGACAUAGACCUACAGCUGCAGUUCUCUACCUCCCAACCUGAAGCCCUCCUUCUCCUGGCAGCAGGCCCAGCUGACCACCUCCUGCUGCAGCUCUACUCCGGACGCCUGCAGGUCAGACUUGUCCUGGGCCAGGAGGAGCUGAGGCUGCAGACCCCAGUAGAAAUGCUGCUGAGCGACUUCGUGCCCCACACUACAGUGCUGACUGUCUCAGAGGGCUGGGCCACAGUGUCAGUUGAUGGGUUUCUCAACGCCUCCUCUGCAGUCCUGGGAGCCCCGUAGAAGUCCCCUGUGGGCUCUUCGUUGGGAGCAUUGGGAGCCUUGGCCUGCCCUACCUGAGGGGACCCAGCUAUCCCCUGAGAGAUUGCCCCUAUGCAGCCACCCUCAAUGGCUGCAGCCUCCUCCGGCCUCUGACCCCCGAGGUGCGUGAGGGCUGUGCUGAAGAGUUUUCUGCCAGUGAGGAUGUGGCACUGGGUUUCUCUGGGCCCCACUCUUUAGCUGCCGUCCCUGCCUGGGGCACUCAGGAUGAAGGAACCCUGGAGUUGACACUCACCACACAGAGCCAGCAGGCACCCUUGGCCUUCCAGGCAGGGGACCCGCAUGGGGACUUCAUCCAUGUGGACAUAUUUGAGGGCCACCUGUGGGCCAUGGUCGAGAAGGGCCAGGGUACUGCAUUGCUCCUCAGCAGUGUGCCUGUGGCUGACAGGCAGCCCCACAAGGUCAGUGUCCACAUCAACAUUCACCAGCUGGAAAUCUCCAUGGACCAGUACCCCGCAUGUACUUUGAACUGAGGAGUCCUCAGCUACCUGGAGCCACGUGGCAGUCUCCUCCUUUGGGGGCUGGUUGCAGAGGCCUCUUGUCUCCUCCAGGAAUACCGCCCAGACCUGACACGAGGAGCCGCCAAUGCCUCACUGCUGGGAUGGCUGCAUGGAAGACCUCAGUGUCAAUGGCCAGAGGCAGGGACUGCGGGAAGCCUUGUUGACGCACAACAUGGCGGCUGGCUGAAGGCUGGAGGAGGUGGAGGAGUAUGAGGAUGAUGCCUGUGACCAUUAUGAAGCUUUCUCCAUGCUGGCCCCCAAGACUUGGCUGGCCAUGGAGCUAGCUGAGCCAUGAGUGCCUGAGCUAGGGCUGCAUCCUGUCUGCUAAUUUCACCCAGCUGUUGACUAUCUGCCCACUGGUGGUGGCUGAGGGUGGCACAGCCUGGCUUGAGUGGCAGCACGUGCAACCCAUGCUGGCCCUGAUGGAGGCUGAGCUGCGCACAUCCCAGGUGCUGUUCAGCGUGACCUGAGGGGCAUGCUAGGGUGAGGUUGAACUGGACAUCCCGGGUGCCCAGGCAUGAAAAAUGUUCACCCUCCUGGACAUGGUGAACCACAAGGCCUGCUUCAUCCACGAUGGCCCUGAGGACACCUCUGACCAGCUGGUGCUAGAGGUGUCAGUGACGGCUCUGGUGCCAUGCCCUCAUCCCUACAGAGGGGCCAAAAUGACCUUCUGCCCUUCCAGGUUCACCCUGUCAGUGACCCACGAGGCAUCAUCUUUCCACGUGGCAGCCUCAUGGUGUUCCUGGAACACAUGCAGAAGCCACUGGGGCCUGAGGUUUUCCAGGCCUAUGACCCGGACUCUGCCUGUGAGGGCCUCGCCUUCUAGCUCCUUGGCGCCCCCUCUGGCCUCCCCGUGGAGCACUGAGACCGUGGAGCAGCCUGGGGAGCCGGUGACCGAGUUCUCCUGCUGGGAGUUGGAGGCCGGCAGCCUAGUCUAUGACCACCGCGGUGGCCCUGCACAGCACUUGAUUUUCUGGAUCAGCGAUGGACUGCAGGCCACCCCGCCCUCAGCCACGCUGAAGGUGGUGGCUGUCCAGCUGUUCAUACAGAUCCACCACAGCACAGGACUGUGCCUGGCCCAGGGCUCUGCCAUGCCCAUCUUGCCCACCAACCUGUCGGUGGAGCGCCGUGUGGCGGGAUGUGAGCGUGCUGUUCCGCAUCGCGGGAGCCCUGCAGUUCAGGGAGCUGCAGAAGCAGGGGGCUAGUGGGGUGGAGGGUGCUGAGUGGUGGGCCACACAGGCAUUCCACCAGCCGGACGUGGAGUAGGGCCACGUGAGGUAGCUGAGCACCGACCCACAGCACCACAUCGAGGACACCGUGGAGAGCCUGGAUCUGGAGGUGCAGGUGGGCUGGGAAAUCCUGAGCAAUCUGUCCUUCCCAGUGACCAUCCAGAGAGCCACAGUGUGGAUGCUACAGCUGGAGCCACUGCACACUCAGGACACCCAGCAGGACACCCUCAUCACAGCCCACCUGGAGGCCACUCUGGAGGAGGCAGGCCCAAGCCCUCCAACCUUCCACUAUGAGGUGGUUCAGGCUCCCAGGAAAGGCAGCCUUCAACUACAGGGCACGAGGCUGUCAGGCGGCCAGGGCUUCACCCAGGAUGAUGUACAGGCUGGCCAGGUGACCUGUGGGGCCACGGCACGCACCUCAGUGGCAGUGGAGGACACCUUCUGUUUCUGUGUCACAGCUCCACCAUAUUUCUCCCUGCUCUGUACCUUCUCCAUCCAUACUGGCGGUGACCCAGACAUGCCUGUCCUCACCAAUGUCCUCGUGGUGCCUGAGGAUGAUGAGGGUGUCCUCUCUACUGACCAGCUCUUCCAGAGUCUCAACAGUGCCGGUUACCUCUAUGAGGUCAUGGAGCGGCCCCCGCCAUGGGAGGUUGACUUGGCAUGGGACACAGGACAAGACCACUAUGGUGACAUCCUUCACUAAUGGAGACCUGUUGUGUGGCUGGCUGGUCUACCAGCAUGAUGAUUCUGAGGUCACAGAAGGUGAUACCCCAUUUGUUGCUACCCGCCAGGAUGAGAGCAGUGGUGACAUGGCCUGGGAGGAGGUACGGGGUGUCUUCCAAGUGGCCAUCCAGCCCGUGAAUGACCACGCCCCUAUGCAGAUCAUCAGCCACGUCUUCCAUGUGGCCCGGGGUAGGUGGCGGCUGCUGACUACAGUCGACGUGGCCUUCAGCAGUGCUGAUUCGGGCUUUGCUGAUGCCCAGCUGGUGCUGACCCGCAAAGACCUCCUCUUUGGCAGUAUCAUGGCUGUGGAUGAGCCCAUGCAGCCCAUCUACUGCUUCAUCCGUGAGGGACCUCAGGAAGAGGUGAGUCCUGUUUGCACACUGGGGCUGACCACGCUGGAUCCAGCUGCAGGCGUCUGAUGGGCAGCACCAGGCCACCACUCUGCUGGAGGUGCAGGCCUUGGAGCCCUACCUCUCUGUGGCCAGUGGUUCCGGCCUCAUGAUCCCUCAAGGAGGCCAGGGUACCAUCAACACGGCCGAGCUCCCCCUGGACACCAACCUCGACAUCCACAGUGGGGAUGAGAUCCACUACCACGUCACAGAGUGUCCUCGCUAGGGACAAUUGCUCCGGGCCACUCAGCCAGCCACAGUCGUCUCCCAGCAGUACUUGCUGCAUGGGGCCAUUCUCUACGGCCACAAUGGCAGCCUCAGACCCCGCAACACCCUGGCCUUCUCAAUGGAAGCAGGGCCAGUGCACACAGAUGCCACACUACAAGUGACUGUUCCCCUAGAGGGCCCACUAGCCCCACUGAAGCUGGCCUGGCACAAGAAGAUCUACAUCUUCCAGGGAGAGGCAGCUGAGAUCAGAAGAGACCAGGUGGAGGCAGCCCAGGAGGCAGCCCAGAAGGCAGACAUCGUUUUCUCAGUGAAGAGCCCACUGAGUGCCAGCUACCUGGUGAUGGUUUCGCCUGGCGCCUUGGCAGGUGAGCCACCCAGCCUGGACCCCAUGCAGAGCUUCUCCCAAGAGGCGGUGGAUGCAGGCAGGAUCCUGUACCUGCACUUCUGCCCUGAGGCCUGGAGCGAUGCCUUCUUGCUGGUUGUGGCCUCAGCCUGGGUGCUCCCCUUGAGGACGUAUCGUAGAGCUGGAGGUGCUGCCCACUGUCAUCCCCACCGGGAGUGCAAAACUUCAGCGUCCCCGAGGGUGGCAGCCACACCUUGGUCCCUCCACUGCUCUGCGUCACCGGGCCCUACUUCCCCACUCUCCCGGGCCUUGGCCUGCAGGUUCUGGAGCCAUCCUGGCACGGAGCCCUGCAGAAGGAAGAUGGGCCUCAUGCCAAGACCCUCAGCGCCUUCUGCUGGAGAGAGGGUCCGUCCAGCCACUCAGCAGCCAGAGCCUCAGAGCCAGCUCCAGUGCAGGCACCAACCUCCAGCUUCUGCUCUUACUGUGUGGUGCGGGGCCCCCAGCUAGGUCAGCUCUUCCAUGCCCAGCAUGACAGCACAGGGGAGGACCUGGUGAACUUCACUCAGCCAGAGACCACGGAGUUCAUAUUGGAGCUGCUGGCCAGUCUGUACUCAUGUGGGGCCCAGAACACACUGGUGGAGCAGUUGGCAGAAGAGGCACAGCGGCGCGACGAGAUGCUGCGCAUGCACCACAUGCUGAAGGAGGUCGCCCAAGUCCAGCCCCGGGAUGCCCAGCCCCCGCCAUGUCCCCAGCCCAGCCUGGGUUGCGGGCCCGGCUUCUGGGCUUCCUGCUGCUGGGUGCGCCCUUGGGGAAGUGCCACCCCGUAUCCUCCAGACCAGAGGCUUCCCCUGAUCCCUUCGGCCCUACUCGCCAGGUGCUCUCAUGCCCCACUAGGGAUCACCAAGAUGGCUGUGGAGAUCCAGGGAGGCAGUGGCCAUAGGGAUGCUAUGUUAACUGCAGAUGCAGCCAUAGGAGCCCUUUGCUAACGGCCAACAAUCAUUAUCGGUGUUCCCUGAGGAGCGUCAGCCAUGGUAGGUACAUGCUUUGCUGCCUGCUGCACGAAAGGUCUGCCCACCCCGCUGCCCCAGCUCCACACGGGGGGCACACCUGGGACCUCAGAACCAGGCUCCCUGCCCCUCCCUUCUGGAGCUGCAGACUUGCUCUUUCCUCUUUCUGUCCUUGUGCUGCUGGCUGUCUCACUUCCCUCCCUGUGAGCCAUGGGACUCAGUGCCACUGCUCAAGGUCCCCAUGGCUGAGCCUGGCGGCUCUUAGAACAGGCUCCAUGCCCAAACUGGCAGACAUGGAACCAUCAGAGAGGACACAGAGCUCAUGGUUUAUGGUGUAGGGGCUGGGAACUUGGAGCGGGUUGUGUGUAGUGCUGGACUCUGAGGCCGCCAGAGGCCUAGGCACAUCAUCCUGGGCACGCUGUACCUGUCAUGCAGUCUGAGUCAUGCUGCCAGGGCAGGUAUCCAGCUCCCAGCCUGGGAGUGCCGAGAGCCAAAUCCACUGCAGAUUAAGGGUGAUAGGAUCCCAUGUCCUCUAUCUGUCAGCAAUCUAGUGGUGAUCGAGGAUAAAAGCCUGAGAGUCCCAUACACACGGUCAUCCCACAACACACUUCACAGACCAGGCAGGGACACACAGCCCCCUUCCCUCCCUCCCAGGUACCAUCAUAGCUGCUCGUGUGGACUGAAGGCAGGGUCCCUGGCCCCCGCUGAAGCACUACCGCCGACCAGCAGGCUCACUCACCUUGGCCUGUUGCUCCUAGGGGUCGCCUGUGCUAUUCAACCAAGGAGACCACAGUGCCUCCUGGCCCAGCCGAGCUCCGUCUAGCGAGCCCACCUGCCUGUCCUGCCACGGACUCUCCCUCUUCUGCUUUUCUGAGCAGGAUGGGCCCAGCCUCACCUAUGCAACCUGCAGCCCCCUGCCUACCAGUUGAGGCUCCCCUCUUAGACUUAUAAGUCUAUGUCCAGUGGCAUCCGGCUACCUGUCCUCCUUGCCUUCCCCAGGGUCCCUCAGAGGACACUGGGCUUUCUGACUACCCAGAGGGGCCUCUGGCGCUCACUUCAGCCAGCCAUCCCCUUAUAGUUUCACCAUUUUGUUUCAAGCAGUGUUCCUUCUCUAUCAGGCCUGGUGGCUGUUGGGUGGGGCUCCCCAAGCAAGAGGUGGCCCUGGGCCAGUGGGUUGGAAGACAGGGUGACCAGAGAAGAGGGAAGUCCUGGGGUCUGGCAUUGGUCUGAACUGUGGGUGGACUGCCUGGGUGCCAUGAGAGAGGUCAGCGUGUGUGGGGUGGGGAGGGCCGCCACAGCCCCCGGGCACUACCUACGAAGCUCUGGCUUCUCCUCCAUCUUCCUCCCCUUUCCCUUCCAGCCUCUCUUUUCCAGGAACCUUGCCAUGCCCACACUUACACCCUCCCCUUUCCAGCCCUCUCACAGCUGCUACGGUGCACCCAUGCUCUGCCCUUGCCUCACCAGCUCUGGCUUUUCUCUAACCUGUUUUCUCUCUGCGCUCUCUCCAAUGCCAGCUGAUUGGGUCAGGCAAGUCCAUCCCAUCCUGAGAGCCCCAGGUCCCACUUUGACCUCUGAAGUGAUGAACAGAUCCUCCUCUUCUCAGAGACCUCCCUUUCCAAGCCUGCCUGGGUGGGUGUCCUGUGACUUGACAGUGGCUCCAGCAGCCCUAAAGCCAGCCCCCUUCAUCUGUGACUUAGUCUGUUGUAGUGGUGAGCUGGCACAUCCAGCUGUGACCAUUGCUGAAAACUUGUGCCCCCUCUGUGGUAUGCCCCUGCCCUGUUCUAUAAAUAGCUAUAAAUUCUCAUACACACACACACACGCGCACACACACACACACACACACACACACACACACACACACGUGGCCAACUGCCUGGCCUCUAGCACUGGGAAUCAGUCCUCGUGCUGUCCUUGCGGAGUCUUGUGGCCCAACAAGAGGAAGCUGUCUCCUGACAUUGCCCCUCAAAAGGGCACCAGGGAUUCUCCCUGUCAUGCCCGGCCUGUGGACAGCCUGCCCCCGCCAUCCUUCCCGCCUUCUGGGCAAUCAUGGGGGUGCUGUGCAGGCAGCUGUGUGGACUGACAGUCUCUACCAGUCCUGUCCUGCUGUCCCUCGGCUGAGACUCCAACCCAUUUCUGGAUGACAGAGAAUGUGUCCUCUGCUGGCUGUGCUCUCUGUGGAGCUCAGGGGAGGGAAAAGUCCAAGCCAUUUUUAGGGUGCUGUUGGGAGCGGUGAAAAGGUCACACCGUUUCCAAGGGACUCUUUUCCUAGAAAGUCCCUGGAGCUUAGCUGGUUCUUAUCCUGUGAAGCCGGAUCUGGCCACUAGGGGGCAGGGCCGUGAACUCAAUCUGGAGGGAGGCUGCGGGGCAGCCUGCACUCUGGAGGGACAGACAGGCCACCCGGUGCAGACAGGAGAGGGAGGCAGGGGGACGGAAUGGAAGACACCUGGGGUGGGUGAAAGUCAGUGCCCUCGGGUGCUGGUGUUUUCUUCCCGGCCACAGCUAGAUCAGUCUUCUGAACCUGUUGGCUGUCAGGGCUGCACUGUGCCCAUUAGGCACCAUGGCAGUCCCGUUGAAAUCCACCAGGUGUCACCAGGCAGCAUCCAGGCAACAGGCCUGGAAGAUUCCCAACAGCCCAACUGGACAUGCUCAGACACUCUGGGGCUCGUCUUUCAAUGGGACAAACUGCAGGACCCACUGAGGGAAACGGGAACAUACCAGGCUGAGCAGUAUAGCUAAAUCCAUUUAUUCCCAAAUAAAAAGCAAAGAAAACAGGAGUCCCAUCACCGGGGAGCCAUGACUCCAUCCCCGCCUCCUUCCUCGCUCCUAUGCUAGCAAUAAAUAAGUUUCCCAGCUGCAAAUAACUAUCAGAACCUCUUCCUCAUAUGCCAGUUGCAACCUCCGCUAGGUACGAUACAUACAGAAUGUUACACAGAUACAGUAUAUACAUGGGGGAAGGGCGGGUCACCCCUAGCAGCCUGUGCCCUCGCCUGGUCUACAGUUAGCUCCACUGUCCCGCCUCAGAUGCCUCUCUGAAUAAGAAGAUGGGAGCGCCCCCGAGAGAAAAGUUGCCUUGGUGAGAGUAAGGAGGCCAUCGCACCUCCUGCAAACAAACCAAAUCUAUCAACCUCUGGCUCU